rnacentral:rRNA from 1 species
AUUGAACGCUGGCGGCAGGCCUAACACAUGCAAGUCGAACGAGUGGCGGACGGGUGAGUAAUGUCUGGGGAACUGCCUGAUGGAGGGGGAUAACUACUGGAAACGGUAGCUAAUACCGCAUACCAUCGGAUGUGCCCAGAUGGGAUUGGCUAGUAGGUGGGGUAAAGGCUCACCUGGGCGACGAUCCCUCGCUGGUCGGCGAGGAUGACCAGCCACACGGGAACUGAGAAACGGUCCAGACUCCGACGGAAGGCAGCAGUGGGGAAUAUGGGACAAUGGGCGCAAGCUGGAUGCAGCAAGGCCGGGUGGAUGAAGAAGGCCUUCGGGUUGUAAAGUACUUUCAGCGGGGAGGCGUUACCCGCAGAAGAAGCACCGGCUAACUCCGUGCCAGCAGCCGCGGUAAUUC